rnacentral:rRNA from 1 species
UGAGUAGGCGGUAAUAUGUGUCAGAUGUAAAAGGCUAUGGCUUAACCAUGGUUGGCAUUUGAAACUGUAUUACUUGAGUGCAGGAGAGGUAAGUGGAAUUCCUAGUGUAGCGGUGAAAUGCGUAGAUAUUAGGAGGAACACCAGUGGCGAAGGCGACUUACUGGACUGUAACUGACGCUGAGUCACGAAAGCGUGGGUAGCAAACA